rnacentral:lncRNA from 1 species
GAAGAUCUCUUAGGACCCCUACACCUACAAGAGCCUUUGAGACAAAGAUGCAACAAAGAGGCAAAGAAUAACGCAGACAGGAAAGUGAGAGAUGGCUGCUGGUUGGAUCACGGCUGGGAACGCAUGGAUGCGAAUCCAGGCUUGGCUUUAAGAGAGGGAGAGAAUGUGGAUAGAUAACACUUGAUUGAACGAGGUAUUUGACUUUUAAAAAAAAUUUGAUAUCUGAUAGGCUGUGGCAGGUAUGUUAAUAAGACAUUCUGUUAAGUCGCUGCCAUCAUGGACCUUACACACUAGCAGCUGUAGUGGGGAAAGGAGGGCAAAGCAUCAUGAAGCAAAUUGUUUUCCUCCACCUGCAGUAAGAUGUAAGUAGCAAAGGAGACAACCAGAGACACCAAGAGGCGAUCUGUAAGGCUUAGACGAGAGCCAUGUCAUUCAGAGUUCCAAGUCCAGAGCUCACAGGACAACUGGAGGGAAUUGCUGCCUCCAGUAGACACAGACCUCCCUCCUAACUCCACGCAGCAGCCCCCUCUGCCACCUGUCCCCAGAGCCCAGGCCUAUGGUUGGACCGGAUUCGUCACCUGGCUCUACAGGAUACACACACAAAUGGCAGUAAAUGGACCACAUGAAUGGACUGCAGCGAAGAGACCUGAGACAAUUCAUGCCAGUGCAGACUGAGAUGUGCAAGGCAGAAGCAAUUUAGAGAGACUGAAAGAGAAAGGAAGGCCCAGUUAAAAUCCAAAUGGAGAGAAGCACAAUGUAAAAGCAAAUUGGAAAAAGCUGAAGCAACAGAGGGACCCUCAGGAAGAUGGUGAGUGUGAGAAAAAAGCACAGGAGAAAUGUCCUCUGCAACCCAAACCCGCCUCAUCAAAUAGCUCUGGACCCAGUUUUUAUCUUUACAAGUGAUAGCUGGCUGCUGCCAACUGUUUGCAUA